rnacentral:rRNA from 1 species
GCCCCCGUCAAUUCCUUUGAGUUUCAACCUUGCGGUCGUACUCCUCAGGUGGAUCACUUAACACUUUCGCUUCACCACUGAAUUACAACGUACAAAAGUACAAAACCCAAUAGUUAGUGAUCAUCGUUUACAGCAUGGGGAGCAAACAGGAUUAGAUACCCUGGUAGUCCAUGCUGUAAACGAUGAUCACUAACUAUUGGGUUUUGUACUUUUGUACGUUGUAAUUCAGUGGUGAAAUGCGUAGAUAUCACACAGAACACCAAUAGCGAAAGCAAGUUACUAAGCCUAUACUGACGCUGAGGGCACGAAAGCAUGGGGAGCAAACAGGAUUAGAUACCCUGGUAGUCCAUGCUGUAAACGAUGAUCACUAACUAUUGGGUUUUGUACUUUUGUACGUUGUAAUUCAGUGGUGAAGCGAAAGUGUUAAGUGAUCCACCUGAGGAGUACGACCGCAAGGUUGAAACUCAAAGGAAUUGACGGGGGCUCGCACAAUCGGUGGAGCAUGUGGUUUAAUUCGAUGAUACGCGAGGAACCUUACCAAGACUUAAAUGUACUACGAAUAAAUUGGAAACAAUUUAGUCUAGCGACGGAGUACAAGGUGCUGCUAGAUCGUCGUCAGCUCGUGCCGUGAGGUGUAAGGUUAAGUCCUUAAACGAGCGCAACCCUUAUUAUUAGUUGCCAUCGAGUAGUGUCGGGGACUCUAAUAAGACUGCCGGCGUAAGCCGAGAGGAAGGCGGGGACGUCGUCAAAUCAUCACGGCCCUUACGUCUUGGGCCACACACGUGCUACAAUGAUCGGUACAAAAGGGAGCGACUGGGUGACCAGGAGCAAAUCUAGAAAGCCGAUCUCAGUUUGGAUUGGAGUCUGAAACUCGACUCUAUGAAGCUGGAAUCGAUAGUAAUCGUGCAUCAGCCAUGGCACGGUGAAUAUGUUCCCGGGCCUUGUACACACCGCCCCCAGAUCGG